GAUGAACGCUGGCGGCGUGCUUAAUACAUGCAAGUCGAACGGAGACAGUAGCAAUAUUGUCUUAGUGGCGAACGGGUGAGUAACGCGUUGGUGACCUGCCCCGAAGAGGGGGAUAACAGUCCGAAAGGAUUGCUAAUACCCCAUGUGGUCAUUUGGAUUAGAUGCCUUAUGACUAAACGGAUUUAUUCGCUUCGGGAGGGGCCUGCGUCCCAUCAGCUAGUUGGUAAGGCAAUGGCUUACCAAGGCGAUGACGGGUAGGGGACCUGAGAGGGUGGCCCCCCACAAUGGAACUGAAACACGGUCCAUACACCUACGGGUGGCAGCAGUAGGGAAUAUUGGUAAUGGGCGAAAGCCCGGACCAGCAACGCCGCGUGCGCGAUGAAGGCCUUCGGGUUGUAAAGCGCUUUUUAAGGGGAUGAGGAAGGACAGUACUCUUAGAAUAAGCCUCGGCUAACUACGUGCCAGCCGCCGCUGUAACAC
rnacentral:rRNA from 1 species